AUAUCAAUAAGCGGAGGAAAAGAAAAUAACAAUGAUUUCCCUAGUAACGGCGAGUGAAGAGGAAAGAGCUCAAAGUUGGAACCUGUUUGGCUUAGCUAAACCGGAUUGUAAACUGUAGAAGUGUUUUCCAGGUACGCCAGGUAAAAAAGUCCUUUGGAACAGGGCAUCAUAGAGGGUGAGAAUCCCGUCUUUGGCCUGAGCUGUUGCCUUUUGUGAUACAUUUUCAAAGAGUCAGGUUGUUUGGGAAUGCAGCCUAAAUUGGGUGGUAAAUCUCACCUAAAGCUAAAUAUUUGCGAGAGACCGAUAGCGAACAAGUACCGUGAGGGAAAGAUGAAAAGAACUUUGAAAAGAGAGUUAAACAGUAUGUGAAAUUGUUAAAAGGGAACCGUUUGGAGCCAGAUUGGCUUGACUGUAAUCAACUUAGGCUUUGGCCUGAGUGCACUUGCGGUCUAUGCCUGCCAACGACAGUUUUGUUUGGGGGAAAAAAUUAUAAGGAAUGUGGCCCCUCGGGGUGUUAUAGCCUUAUAAAAAAUACCCUGGAUGGGACUGAGGAACGCAGUGAAUGCCUUUAGGCAAGGUUGCUAGGCGCUUUCGUUGAUAAAUGCUAGAAUUUCUGCUUUGGGUGGUGCUAGUGUUUAAAGAUGGAACUCGUUUGGUAUACUUUUUAUUCGCUUAGGUUGUUGGCUUAAUGACUCUAAAUGA
rnacentral:rRNA from 1 species